UACGUAGGGUGCGAGCGUUGUCCGGAAUUAUUGGGCGUAAAGAGCUCGUAGGCGGUGUGUCGCGUCGGCCGUGAAAACUUGCAGCUUAACUGUGGGCGUGCGGUCGAUACGGGCAUCACUGGAGUUCGGCAGGGGAGACUGGAAUUCCUGGUGUAGCGGUGAAAUGCGCAGAUAUCAGGAGGAACACCGGUGGCGAAGGCGGGUCUCUGGGCAACAACUGACGCUGAGGAGCGAAAGCGUGGGGAGCGAACAGG
rnacentral:rRNA from 1 species